rnacentral:rRNA from 2 species
GCGAGUUCUUCCUUGGCCGAAAGGCCCGGGUAAUCUUGUGAAACUCUGUCGUGCUGGGGAUAGAGCAUUGCAAUUAUUGCUCUUCAACGAGGAAUCCCUAGUAAGCGCAAGUCAUCAACUUGCGCUGAUUACGUCCCUGCCCUUUGUACACACCGCCCGUCGCUACUACCGAUUGAAUGGCUCAGUGAGGCUUCCGGACUGGCCCAGGGGGGCGGGCAACCGCCCCCCCAGGCCGGAAAGUUAUCCAAACUCGGUCAUUUAGAGGAAGUAAAAGUCGUAACAAGGUCUCCGUUGGUGAACCAGCGGAGGGAUCAUUA